CCUGAGGACGUAACGAAACAUAACAAUGUCGGGCCUAUAAGGCCUGGCAAUUGGAAUGGGGGCAAUUUAAAUCCCUCACCGAGUAACAAUUAGAGGACAAGUCUGGUGCCAGCACCCGCGGUAAUUCCAGCUCUAAUAGCAUCUAAUUGAGUUGUUGCAGUUAAAACGCUCGUAGCCCGGCAAGGUGCCCCGUUGGUUCCAAGUACUCCGCGGCCGUCUGGGCCCCUGCGCUUUGGUCCCCCGCCCCGAAAGGGGAGGGCGGGUCUGGCCUGGGGACCGUGGCCGGGGGGGAAAGGUCUCGGUGGGAGCGCCCCCUGCCGCCUGGGUUGGGGGGCAUAAGAUUUUGAUAGCCAACCCCCUGGCCCAGGCAGCUUACUUUGAAUAAAUUUAAGCGCUAAAAGCAGCCCAUUGGGCAUUGAAAACCGUAGCAAAGAAUAACGGAAUAGGAACCUGUUCCUUUCCCGCUGGUGCAUACUUUCAGGUUAAUGAUCAAUUGGGGCGAUCGGGGUCGGCCACAUGGCGGGGGUAGGGGUGAAAUCCGUUGAUCCUCGCCAGGUGAACUAGUGCGAAAGCAGCCGACAAGUACGCUUUCUUUGGUCAAGAACGAAAGUCUGGGGAUCGAAGAUGAUUAGAUACCGUCGUAGUCCAGACCCUAAAUGAUGCCGACCAUGGGUGGGCUAAUGUCCAUCCCGACCCGGCCCGAACCUUGUAAGAAAUUAUAAGUGUUUGGGCUCCGGGGGGAGUAUGGUCGCAAGACUGAAACUUAAAGGAAUUGACGGAAGAGCACACAAGGAGUGGAACCUGCGGCUUAAUUUGACUCAACACGGGAAAACUUACUAGAGUAACAGAAGGUGAAGAUGGACAGCCUAUCCGGCCUUUCCAGAUUCUUUCAAUGGUGGUGCAUGGUCGUUCUUAGUUCGUGGAGUGAUUUGUCUGGUCAAUUCCGCUAACGAGCGAGAACCCGCACUCCUGUAGUUAGGGGCGCCGACCAAGGUCCGACUGUUCAACGCCUAGCCCUGACCCCCUGGUAACGGGGGGAUGGGGCAGGGAUGGGGGACGACUGGGCCCGUAAGAGCCGGCUGCCUUCGAGCUCAGGUGACCGGUCCCGUUAAGGGGCUGGACGUGGGUCAAUAACAGGUCAGUGAUGCCCUUAGAUACUCUAGGCUGCACGCGCGUUACAAUGGGGGGGUGAGCGGGUGACCUAUGUGCCUUACGGCCGCGGGUAAUCCUCCAACGCCCCCCCUAUCCGGGGUUGAUCCAUGUAACUUGGGUCAUUAACAAGGAAUUUCUAGUAGUCACCGGUCAUCAGCCGGUGGCGAUUACGUCCCUGCUCUUUGUACACACCGCCCGUCGCUCCUACCGAUUGGACCGCAUGAUGAGGACCGCAGAGUUUGCCCCCCUACUGCCCGCGAGGGCACCGGGGGGUGGGCGAAGCGGUUCAAAUUCUCUGGUCUAGAGGAAGGAGAAGUCGUAACAAGGUAUCCGU
rnacentral:rRNA from 1 species